CCAGGAAUAUUGCGCAAUGGACGAAAGUCUGACGCAGCGACGCCGCGUGGAGGAAGACGGCCUUAGGGUUGUAAACUCCUUUUGCCAAGCCGUUCACAGCUUGGAGAAUAAGCCCCUACUAACUACGUGCCAGAAGUCUCGGUAAUACGUAGGGGGCAAGCGUUAUCCGGAUUUACUGGGCGUAAAGUGUGCGUAGGCGCCCCAUUAAGUCGUGCUUUAAAUACUAAGGCUUACCCUUAGAACUGAGCACGAUACUGUUGGGGUUGAGGAUUGAUAGGGCAGCUGGAACAGUACGUGUAGCAGUGAAAUGCGUUGAUAUGUACUGGAACACCAAGGGCGAAGGCAGGCUGCUGGGUUUUUCCUGACGCUGAGGCACGAAAGCUAGGGUAGCGAAACAGAUUAGAUACCCGUGUAGUCC
rnacentral:rRNA from 1 species